AAGGGCGGACCGGUGCGGGGUGGUCUAGUUGCGGCGGGGACUUCGGACACUUGUCGGGCCCAUCUCGUGGAUCGCCUCGGCUAGUGGUGGUGUUUGGUCGCUCCGGCGGGGCCACUCGUGCUGCCUCGGCCGGCAUGUAACAGCUGACUUAG
rnacentral:rRNA from 1 species